UGUAAUACAUCAACUCUCCUGAAGUUGCCUACAUCCCCCUGCAUCUCCCCUGUGCUGAGAGUGUCAGAGCUUCUAGGUCUCCCUGGGUUUAGUGUAGAUAUUUACUUUUCUUUCCGGGGAUGGCCCUGUGCAUGGAAGAUACUUGUCCACCUUUUCCCAUCUCCCCAUCUCUACUAAAAAUACAAAAAAUUAGCCGGGCGUGGCGGCGCAUGCCUGUAAUCCCAGCACUUUGGGAGGCCGAGGCAGGCGGAUUGCCUGACCUCAGGAGUUUGAGACCAGCCUGGGCAACACAUCGCGUCAUUGCAUUCCAGCCAGGGCGACAGCGAGACUCUGUCUCAAAAAAAAAAAAAAAAAAAAAAAACCAGGCGCGGUGGCUCAUGCUUGUAAUCCCAGCACUUUGGGAGGCCAAGGCAGGCGGAUCACGAGGUCAGAAGAUCAAAACCAUCCUGGCUACAGUGAAACCCCAUUUCUACUAAAACUACAAAAAAUUAGCCGGGCGUGGUGGCAGGCACCUAUAGUCCCAGCUACUCGGGAAGCUGAGGCAGGAGAAUG
rnacentral:lncRNA from 1 species